GCAUAUCAAUAAGCGGAGGAAAAGAAACCAACAGGGAUUGCCCUAGUAACGGCGAGUGAAGCGGCAACAGCUCAAAUUUGAAAUCUGGCUUCGGCCCGAGUUGUAAUUUGCAGAGGAAGCUUUAGGCGCGGCACCUUCUGAGUCCCCUGGAACGGGGCGCCAUAGAGGGUGAGAGCCCCGUAUAGUUGGAUGCCUAGCCUGUGUAAAGCUCCUUCGACGAGUCGAGUAGUUUGGGAAUGCUGCUCAAAAUGGGAGGUAAAUUUCUUCUAAAGCUAAAUACCCGGCCAGAGACCGAUAGCGCACAAGUAGAGUGAUCGAAAGAUGAAAAGCACUUUGAAAAGAGGGUUAAAUAGCACGUGAAAUUGUUGAAAGGGAAGCGCUUGUGACCAGACUUGCGCCGGGCUGAUCAUCCGGUGUUCUCACCGGUGCACUCUGCCCGGCUCAGGCCAGCAUCGGUUCUCGCGGGGGGAUAAAGGCCCUGGGAAUGUAGCUCCUCCGGGAGUGUUAUAGCCCGGGGUGUAAUGCCCUCGCGGGGACCGAGGUUCGCGCAUCUGCAAGGAUG
rnacentral:rRNA from 1 species